CCCAGACAGCCAGGAUGUUGGCUUAGAAGCAGCCAUCAUUUAAAGAAAGCGUAAUAGCUCACUGGUCGAGUCGGCCUGCGCGGAAGAUGUAACGGGGCUAAACCAUGCACCGAAGCUGCGGCAGCGAACGUAUCACUUAAAGCGAUUCAGCGGAUGACGAUUGACGGAGCGAAGCGACGUCAAAGCGUAUACAAAGUCGAGUCGGUUUAAGGAUACGUUCGUUGGGUAGGGGAGCGUUCUGUAAGCCUGUGAAGGUGGCCUGUGAGGGUUGCUGGAGGUAUCAGAAGUGCGAAUGCUGACAUAAGUAACGAUAAAGCGGGUGAAAAGCCCGCUCGCCGGAAGACCAAGGGUUCCUGUCCAACGUUAAUCGGGGCAGGGUGAGUCGACCCCUAAGGCGAGGCCGAAAGGCGUAGUCGAUGGGAAACGGGUUAAUAUUCCCGUACUUGGUGUUACUGCGAAGGGGGGACGGAGAAGGCUAUGUUGGCCGGGCGACGGUUGUCCCGGUUUAAGCGUGUAGGCUGGUUUUCCAGGCAAAUCCGGAAAAUCAAGGCUGAGGCGUGAUGACG
rnacentral:rRNA from 1 species